rnacentral:tRNA from 1 species
GCCUGGAUGGCACAAAUGGUUAAGUGCUCAGCUACUAACUGACAGGGUGGUGGUUUGAAUCCACCCAGAGGCA